ACGACUCUCGGCAACGGAUAUCUCGGCUCUCGCAUCGAUGAAGAACGUGGCGAAAUGCGAUACUUGGUGUGAAUUGCAGAAUCCCGUGAACCAUCGAGUCUUUGAACGCAAGUUGCGCCCCAAGCCUUCAGGCCGAGGGCACGUCUGCCUGGGUGUCACAAAUCGUCGUCCCCAUCCUUUGCGGAUAA
rnacentral:rRNA from 1 species